GCUCCGGACGCGCAGGCUCAGCGGCCAUGGCUCACGGGCCCAGCCACUCCGCAGCAUGUGGGACCUUCCCGGACCGGGGCACGAACCCGUGUCCCCUGCAUCGGCAGGCAGACUCUCAACCACUGCGCCACCAGGGAAGCCCGGGUUUGUCUUAUAUGGCCUUUAUUAUGCUGAGAGAGAGAAAAAUAGCUCGAUUUGCCCUUGAAUAUAACAAUAGUCAGUGACUGAGAAAAAUCAUUUGCUGUCGUCAUCUGUGUCAGAUCACUCACUCUGGGGAAAACCAGCUGAGGACACUCAAGCAAUCUUAUGGAGAAGUCUAUGUGGUGAGGAACUGAGGCCAACUGCCAACAGCUGGCACUAAUUUGGCAGUUUUUCUACAGACAAAAGGCAGGCGGAGGACAUGAGUGGGGUCUAUUCCAGGAAGGCCUCGUAGUGUCCUGCUGGGUUACAGGCUGGGACCUGGGACCUGGGACCCUUUGCAGCAAUGCUUGCACCUGGACAAACGUCUCCUCAAGCAACAAAUACAAAGAAACUCCAAGGGGCUAAAAAUAACUGCAUGCAUGCACAUUUGGGGCAAAUUAUGAACAAGAUACAAAAAGCCCCCAAACCUAACUUCCACAUCUGAGGAGUCGGGAGCAAAAGCAUGGUAGCGCACAUGAUCCUUGCACACAGCACCACCAAGGGGAUGGGCACCCCACCCAAGCCACCCCUGCAGCCUGACCACCGGACCUGCCCCUACCCUUGCCCCAUGUAAGCAACCAGCUUGCCCUCCCCUCAGGGAGCAAGCAGGGCCACCUGUUACUUGUUUUCGCCGUCCUGCUACAG